CCUACGGGAGGCUGCAGUCGGGAAUAUUGCGCAAUGGAGGAAACUCUGAUGCAGCGACGCCGCGUGCAGGAAGAAGGUUUUCGGAUUGUAAACUGCUUUAGACAGGGAAGAAAAAAGACAGUACUUGUAGAAUAAGCUCCGGCUAACUACGGGCCAGCAGCCGCGGUAAAACGUAGGGAGCAAGCGUUAUCCGGAUUUAUUGGGUGUAAAGGGUGCGUAGACGGAGAAGCAAGUUAGUUGUGAAAGCCCUCGGCCUAACUGAGGAACUGCAACUAAAACUACUUCCCUUGAGUGCUGGAGAGGAAAGUGGAAUUCCUAGUGUAGCGGUGAAAUGCGUAGAUAUUAGGAGGAACACCAGUGGCGAAGGCGACUUUCUGGACAGUAACUGACGUUGAGGCACGAAAGUGUGGGGAGCAAACAGGAUUAGAUACCCUAGUAGUC
rnacentral:rRNA from 1 species